GGCAGUACACAACCAAAGAAAGGUCUUCUCAAAGGUCAAGGUCACUAGGGACUGUCUAGUCACCUGCCCAGAACGUAUUGCUGUGGAUAUACCAGGUUCAACUCCAGGGCCAUGACGUCUGGGUUCCUCCAGGGUGAACAUAACAACAAACAGCAGGAAGGAAGGGAUCCAGGCAACCAGGACACGAUAUGGGAUAUUGGCUACGUGAUGGGAAAUGUUCUGGGGUCAGAUCAGAAAAUGUCAGACCUUCUUACACGCGUUCGUGACCGGCCAGGAAGAACGCAACAAACCGGAAUCUUCUGCGGCAAAAGCUUU
rnacentral:lncRNA from 1 species